rnacentral:sRNA from 2 species
GCCACUGUCAUUGGGGAGUAGCCAUCCUUUGUUUCCCCAAGGGAGUCAGCGUCAACAAACUUGGUGGUUCAUCCCCAUGGCGCUGACGGCCUUACGGCACCGCAACGCGGUCGCCGCAAGCAGCCAGGCGAGACCUUUGGCCU